rnacentral:rRNA from 1 species
UACGUAGGGUGCGAGCGUUGUCCGGAAUUAUUGGGCGUAAAGAGCUUGUAGGCGGUUUGUCGCGUCUGCCGUGAAAAUCCGGGGCUCAACCCCGGACUUGCGGGUGGGUACGGGCAGGACUAGAGUGUGGUAGGGGGAGACUGGAAUUCCUGGGUGUAGCGGUGAAAUGCGCAGAUAUCAGGAGGAACACCGAUGGCGAAGGCAGGUCUCUGGGCCACUACUGACGCUGAGGAGCGAAAGCGUGGGGAGCGAACAGG